UGAUGCCAGGGUCAAAAGGUCUAAAACCACAUGAGCUUGCUCAUAAGUGGUUGAAAGACCUUGGGACCCGCCCCGAUAUGAGCAUAAAAGUGGGAUGUUAAUCCCACGAUAUGCGAAUAUUGGGCAGGAUUGUGGGAGUGCGCAGCACGGAACAAUCCGCAGGCAUCA
rnacentral:sRNA from 1 species